ensembl:lncRNA
GCCGUCAGGGCUUGGCCCAUAAAGCGUCUGGGACAUUUCCCCAGUGGAGUGAGAGUUCACAUCAGCGGGCCAGUGUAAUUUACAGAAGGCUGGGAAAUAGCAGAGAAGAGAGGGAGAGAGAAAAAGAGUAGGAGAGACACAAAGAGUAAGACAGAUAGAGAGGGAAAUGCGAGAGAGAGAGAGAGACAGAGAAAGAGAGAUGGAGAGAGGGACAGAGAGAGAGACACACAGAGAAAGACAGAGAGGGAGAUGGAGAGAGAGACACAGAGAAAUAGGGAUGGAGAGAGGGACAGAGAGAGAGACACACAGAGAAAGACAGAUAGAGAGGGAGAUGGAGAGAGAGACACAGAGAAAGAGAGAUAGAGAGAGAGACACAGAGAAAGAGAGAUAGAGAUGGAGAGAGAGACACAGAGAAAGAGAGAUAGAGAGAGAGACACAGAGAAAGAGAGAUAGAGAGGGAGAUGGAGAGAGAGACACAGAGAAAGACAGAUAGAGAGGGA